AAGAAUUUGAGAAAACUGACAGCACUGUCCUAUCCAUGUCUGUUCCGAAGCAAGUCCCAUUGAGUUCAAUGUGACUUACUCCCAGGAUGGAUCUGAAGGGAGCAACUGCAGCUACUGACAGCGGUGAGGGCUAGUGCAAGAGGAUGAAGCAGUCAUAAAAUAAGUGUUGUGGUGGAGCAAUCCUUCUUAUACAGUUAGAAGGAAGCAAAAUGGAACACCUCGCCUGUUAUGAGCUGUCGUCUGGAGCUUGGAAAGCAAAUAUAGCUUUACCUUGUGGGACAACGUUUAACUCCAUUGUUCAAAACUCCUUCAAGCCUGAGCUUCACCAAGUUAAUUUCUCUAAGGUGCUGAUGCUCUGAAACAGUUCACAUGUUUGUGGGACUAUACAUCCACUUCUCAGUAUUGAUUUGCUUCUUCUUCCAACCAUACUCCUACAGCCCUUUUUUGUAGUGUGCAUUCCACAGCCACUAAUGAGGCCUCCCUGUACCUGAAUAGUUAUCUACAUUCUUUUUCUUUAGGUGUAAAGUAGCUACUCAA